GAUGAACGCUAGCUACAGGCUUAACACAUGCAAGUCGAGGGGCAGCAUGGUCUUAGCUUGCUAAGGCCGAUGGCGACCGGCGCACGGGUGAGUAACACGUAUCCAACCUGCCGUCUACUCUUGGACAGCCUUCUGAAAGGAAGAUUAAUACAAGAUGGCAUCAUGAGUCCGCAUGUUCACAUGAUUAAAGGUAUUCCGGUAGACGAUGGGGAUGCGUUCCAUUAGAUAGUAGGCGGGGUAACGGCCCACCUAGUCUUCGAUGGAUAGGGGUUCUGAGAGGAAGGUCCCCCACAUUGGAACUGAGACACGGUCCAAACUCCUACGGGAGGCAGCAGUGAGGAAUAUUGGUCAAUGGGCGAGAGCCUGAACCAGCCAAGUAGCGUGAAGGAUGACUGCCCUAUGGGUUGUAAACUUCUUUUAUAAAGGAAUAAAGUCGGGUAUGCAUACCCGUUUGCAUGUACUUUAUGAAUAAGGAUCGGCUAACUCCGUGUCAGCAGCCGCGGUAAUACGGAGGAUCCGAGCGUUAUCCGGAUUUAUUGGGUUUAAAGGGAGCGUAGAUGGAUGUUUAAGUCAGUUGUGAAAGUUUGCGGCUCAACCGUAAAAUUGCAGUUGAUACUGGAUAUCUUGAGUGCAGUUGAGGCAGGCGGAAUUCGUGGUGUAGCGGUGAAAUGCUUAGAUUUCACGAAGAACUCCGAUUGCGAAGGCAGCCUGCUAAGCUGCAACUGACAUUGAGGCUCGAAAGUGUGGGUAUCAAACAGGAUUAGAUACCCUGGUAGUCCACACGGUAAACGAUGAAUACUCGCUGUUUGCGAUAUACAGCAAGCGGCCAAGCGAAAGCGUUAAGUAUUCCACCUGGGGAGUACGCCGGCAACGGUGAAACUCAAAGGAAUUGACGGGGGCCCGCACAAGCGGAGGAACAUGUGGUUUAAUUCGAUGAUACGCGAGGAACCUUACCCGGGCUUAAAUUGCAGAUGAAUUACGGUGAAAGCCGUAAGCCGCAAGGCAUCUGUGAAGGUGCUGCAUGGUUGUCGUCAGCUCGUGCCGUGAGGUGUCGGCUUAAGUGCCAUAACGAGCGCAACCCUUGUUGUCAGUUACUAACAGGUUCCGCUGAGGACUCUGACAAGACUGCCAUCGUAAGAUGUGAGGAAGGUGGGGAUGACGUCAAAUCAGCACGGCCCUUACGUCCGGGGCUACACACGUGUUACAAUGGGGGGUACAGAGGGCCGCUACCACGCGAGUGGAUGCCAAUCCCCAAAACCUCUCUCAGUUCGGACUGGAGUCUGCAACCCGACUCCACGAAGCUGGAUUCGCUAGUAAUCGCGCAUCAGCCACGGCGCGGUGAAUACGUUCCCGGGCCU
rnacentral:rRNA from 1 species